CCUACGGGAGGCAGCAGUGAGGAAUAUUGGUCAAUGGACGCAAGUCUGAACCAGCCAUGCCGCGUGCAGGAAGACGGCUCUAUGAGUUGUAAACUGCUUUUGUACGAGGGUAAACGCAGAUACGUGUAUCUGUCUGAAAGGAUCGUACGAAUAAGGAUCGGCUAAAUCCGUGCCAGCAGCCGCGGUAAUACGGAGGAUUCAAGCGUUAUCCGGAUUUAUUGGGUUUAAAGGGUGCGUAGGCGGGAGGAUAAGUUAGGGGUGAAAGCCCGAGGAGCAACUUGGGAAGUGCCUUUGAUACUGUUCGGCUAGAGGGUAGUGGCGGUAGGCGGAAUGUGUGGUGUAGCGGUGAAAUGCUUAGAGAUCAGACAGAACACCGAUUGCGAAGGCAGCUUACCAAGCUACGACUGACGUUGAGGCACGAAAGCGUGGGGAGCAAACAGGAUUAGAUACCCGGGUAGUC
rnacentral:rRNA from 1 species